CGAGCACUGGUAGCAGAGGAUACCGUACGCUGAAAGGCAAGAAACCACCACCGUGUGUGUGUGUGUGGGUGGGUGGGUGUGUUGUGUUAGAGGUUAAAAUUCCGAUCGUUACAUGCAACCCGACACCCUUCACAAGACAGACGAAAUGAGACCUCCGCCAGGAUCGACAGGAUAACGAACAGAAAAGCGCCCAAAUGUAUGCAAUCCUACCGACAGAUUGCUGUGCAUUUGCGUGUGUUAGAGAGGAUUGGAUAUUAGUAUACAAGGGAUUCGCUUUCUACCAGCAGCGCGGAGAGUGGAUUAGCGGUUUUUACAAAGGGCAGCCACAUGCAGCCGUGAGUUAUUUUAGUGUUUUGUUGGGUUUUUUUUUUGUUCGUGGCUGAUGGAUAUACCUUCGAAGCGGCCAAUGUGCUUGAUGCAGUACUUCGCCCCAUACACGUUGGAGCAAUCGACCGGCUUGAGGUCGGGCCGAUCGAAGCGUUCAAACCAUUCGCUGCACUGGAACGGUGCCGUCGAGUCGGUCGUAUUGCACACGUAGCAGCUGAUGGCCGCGGCUAGGACGGUAAUGGUUUGAUUUACAUUCCGAAGAAGAGAGAAAGACAAAGUUAGCAACGUAUUAUCUCCCGCUCCUUUUACUCCACAGCACCGAGCAGCAGGCAUGCUGGCAAUUUAUCAUCCUUUUUUCACGCCUCAUUGUUACGGUUACUUCCGCACUGUUCUGUGCUCCGAAAUGCAUUUCCUCUUCAGCAACUGGUUGCAACCACUGGAGUAGUGAUGAUUAUUUUAAUGGGCCAAUGCUUGUACCCAUUCCGCUAGAUUACGCGCGCAACGGUGAAGCGAUAAAACGGAAGCAGCUUACCAAUUUGUGCGCCCAGCACAGAACAAGGGAAUAAAGUUCCUUCCCCCAUUUAA